ensembl:misc_RNA Y_RNA Y RNA
GGCUGAUCGGAAGGUAGUGAGGUAACUGAUUGUUCAUGGGCAGUUACAGAUCAAAGUCCUUGUUCUAUCUUUUCCCCUGUUCUCUCCACUGCACUUGAGUAGAAAA